ensembl:lncRNA
AAACUCCUCCCGUGCCCACUGGUACCAGACCCAUUGCUGGGGGGGGGGAAUCAGCAUUGCUGCAUUAAGGCAAAGAAUUGGUGGUUUCAGCUCCUCGCUGAGCACUGCUUCACCCAGGGCUGUUGGCUGAUGGGUACAUUGGUUUGCAUGAGAUUCAAUUUGGUGUCACUUCAAAGUUCCCUUGUUCAGGAGGCUUCAGAGGAAGGCUCUGGGAUAGCUGAGAGACACCCACAGAAUUUUUCAGCCAUUUAUGAGUUCGUUUUGUCACUACUGGGCAAAAUUUCAGAGCUUCAGUGUGAGUUUGAAAUGCUGACUUUAAGAUAGAAACAACGCUUCUAUAAAACAGAGCAUUCUUCCCAUAACUCUGGCUGUGAUUCCCACCACCAUUUGGGCAGACUGCUGGGGCGAAGAGUGAUGUUGGUUGUGAAGCUUCAGUGCCCCUUAGGAAGUAUUCCUGGACUGACAGCAGAAUUUACUCAUCCUUUAGCAUGAGGGCAAUGGCCAAAGAGUUGGCCUGUGCCACUGGGAGGGAAAAAGAAGCAGUGAGAAUAAAACAGAAUCGUUCUCCUUACUGAUUCUACAGGAAUAGGAGAGGCUAAAACUUGCAGAAAUGGGCUCAUCUCUGCUCUGCCUGCAUCUGCCCUCAGUGAGUGUCACAGCCAUGGGGCCCAGCCAAAAUUUGGCACAACUGGUUUCCAGUCCCUCUCUGAACACUGACCCCCUUCAUAUUUCCAACCAGCCUUAUGUUCCUCAUGGAUUUGGAAUGAAUGAAAUGCCCGACUGCAGCAAAGCGUAUUUUCUUUCUAAAACACUUUUAGGGCUGAUCCAUAACUGGUAGGGAUAAAAUAACCUAUGGAAUGAAACAUGCUGAGGGUGCUGUGCAAACAUUUAGGCAAGAAGCAGCUGGAAAACCUCUAAUGAACAGCUGUGUGUAAUGCUAACACAUAACUCACUGCUGAGCAGCCAGAAGGGUCGAAUCCACCUCUGCUCCUGACUGUAUGACACCCAGGGAUGCUCCGUGUGCAUGGACAACAAAAGGGAUGCGGCUGAGCCUUGAGGUGACCAUCGAGCUUUCCCUGCCUGCCCACUCUGAAACAAGAAGGUUGAUGCUCAUCAUUGUUUCCUGUGAUUCAGCUUCUCCUGCCCUGGUUUAAGGACAGGUUGUUCACAGAGAGAUUCAGCUGAGAGGAAAAACUGAUCACCCUCAGCUGAUGUCAUCACUGCGAGGUACACCCAGGCACUCCCAUCCCUCUCCACAGAGGAGAGCUUAAUAGAAUCCCACACACACUUUAAAGAAUCCUGUUUUCCCCUUUACAUUAAGAUAAUGGUGCACUGAUACCAUAUUACAAAGCAAUUCCCUUGGCUGGAUCCAUGGCACAAUCAUUAUUAAUAUCAAGUGAGCUUGCAAUGAUUUAUGCUAUCACAGUGAUUUUGCAUCUUGUUUAUUACCUUCUAGAGAUCACUUUGCUGAGGUUUUUAAGGUGGCACAGAAACUACCAGGUGAACUGUGUCUUCUAAAUCAACACAGCUUUUCUCUGCCUGCUAAUAAAGCUCUCAUAUGUUUUGCAAUGAGCAGAU